rnacentral:lncRNA from 1 species
UCAGCAGCCUGUUUGUAUGAAGCGAUGGAUGGUUUCUCUUCUUCUUGCUUCGCGAACAGAGCAUUCUCCACCUUAAUGGUUUCGAAUGCCUGGCUAGGCAUCUCCCAUAUUUCUCCAUCCAUCUCCACAUACUUGAAUGAAGACAGGUGGCUGACAAAAAUAUCCUCUUCUCCACAGACAGUAACGACUUGGCCCUCCCAGAUAUACUUUAACUUCUGGUGCAAAGUCGAUGUAACUGCUCCCGCAGCGUGGAUCCAUGGCCUACCCAACAAGCAACUGUAAGCUGGCUGGAUGUCCAUAACAUAGAAAGUCGACUUGAACACCUCGGGUCCAAUCUUUACUGGCAAUUCCA